rnacentral:rRNA from 1 species
GUUCUUAUGGAUCUCGUAAUUGGAAUGAGUACAAUUUAAAUCUCUUAACGAGGAACAAUUGGAGGGCAAGUCUGGUGCCAGCAGCCGCGGUAAUUCCAGCUCCAAUAGCGUAUAUUAUUAUUGUUGCGGUUAAAAAGCUCGUAGUUGGAUCUCGGUUUCGGGCGAGCGGUGUACCUUGCGGUAUUUACUGUUUGCCCGGACGAUUUUGUUGGUUCGUUUAUGGUUCUCUUAACCGAGUGCCAUAAGUGGCCAGCACGUUUACUUUGAAAAAAUUGGAGUGCUCAAAGCAGGCGCUACAGCCUGAACAUUAGUGCAUGGAAUAAUGGAAUAGGAUCUCGGUUCUAUUUCGUUGGCUUUCGGAGUCGAGGUAAUGAUUAAUAGGGACAGACGGGGGCAUUCGUACUGCGACGUUAGAGGUGAAAUUCUUGGAUCGUCGCAAGACGAACUACUGCGAAAGCAUUUGCCAAGAAUGUUUUCAUUAAUCAAGAACGAAAGUUAGAGGUUCGAAGGCGAUCAGAUACCGCCCUAGUUCUAACCAUAAACGAUGUCGACCGGCGAUCCGUUAUCGUUAACUGAAUGACUUAACGGGCAGCCUCCGGGAAACCAGAGUGUUUGGAUUCCGGGGGAAGUAUGGUUGCAAAGCUGAAACUUAAAAGAAUUGACGGAAGGGCACCACCAGGAGUGGAGCCUGCGGCUUAAUUUGACCCAACACGGGAAAUCUCACCAGGCCCGGACACCGGAAGGAUUGACAGAUUGAGAGCUCUUUCUUGAUUCGGUGGGUGGUGGUGCAUGGCCGUUCUUAGUUGGUGGAGCGAUUUGUCUGGUUAAUUCCGAUAACGAACGAGACUCUGGCCUACUAACUAGACGUUAGAUCCCUUUGUGGGUCUAUCGCAGCUUCUUAGAGGGACGGGCGGCGUUUAGCCGCACGAGAUUGAGCAAUAACAGGUCUGUGAUGCCCUUAGAUGUUCUGGGCUGCACGCGCGCUACACUGAAGGAAUCAGCGUGUGUUCCCUACCCGAAAGGGUUGGGAAACCCGUUGAACCUCCUUCGUGAUGGGGAUUGGGGAUUGCAAUUAUUCCCCAUGAACGAGGAAUUCCCAGUAGGCGCGAGUCAUAAGCUUGCGUCGAUUACGUCCCUGCCCUUUGUACACACCGCCCGUCGCUACUACCGAUCGAGUGAUUUAGUGAGGCCUUCGGACUGGUCUUCAGUAUGGCUUUCGGGUCGUGUUGGAGUACCGGAAAGAUGACCAAACUUGAUCACUUAGAGGAAGUAAAAGUC